rnacentral:rRNA from 1 species
ACCUCAAGUCAUGUGAGAGUACCCGCUGAACUUAAGCAUAUCAAUAAGCGGAGGAAAAGAAACUAACAAGGAUUCCCCUAGUAACGGCGAGUGAAGCGGGAAGAGCACAAAUUUUAAAUCUACCUUGGUUUUCCAGGUCGAGUUGUAAUUUGAAGAAACGUUUUUUACGUUCCGGGUUGGAUUAAAUCCUUUGGGAUAAGGUAUCAUGGAGGGUGAGAAUCCCGUGUAUACCAACCACUGGAAUGUUAUUAAUACGAUUUCUAAGAGUCGAGUUGUUUGGGAAUGCAGCUCUAAAUGGGUGGUAAAUUUCACCUAAUGCUAAAUAUAAGCGAGAGACCGAUAGUGAACAAGUACCGUGAGGGAAAGAUGAAAAGAACUUUGAAAAGAGAGUUAAAUAGUACGUGAAAUUGUUGAAAGGGAAACGGUUGAAGUCAGUCAUGCCGGCGGGAAUCAACUUAGGGGAAACUCUAGGUGCACUUCUUCGCUUGGCAGGUUAGCGUCGAUUUUGGAUGUCAUAAAAUGACUGGGGGAAGGUAGCUCUUUCGGGAGUGUUAAGCCCUUAGUAGAUGUGAUGUUCGGGAUCGAGGAUUGCAACGGAUACCCUUUGGGCUAGCCGCCUGGUCUCUAAUACGAAGUUGGGUUAUGGAUAGCAUGCUAACUAUGAUCUGAUUUUCGGUUAAAAGAUUAGAGUGAGCGUAAAUUCGUUAAGGACGCUGACGUAAUGGCUUUAAACGACCCGUCUUGAAACACGGACCAAGGAGUCUAACAUGUAUGCGAGUGUU